rnacentral:rRNA from 1 species
AGGGGAUAGCCGUUGGAAACGACGAAUAAUACCCUAUGAAACUAUCACUUCGCAUGAAGCGAUAGUCAAAGUGUUAGCGGUGUAAGAUGGACUUGCGUCUGAUUAGCUAGUUGGUGAGAAAAAAGACCCACCAAGGCAACGAUCAGUAGCCGGCUUGAGAGAGUGUACGGCCACAUUGGGACUGAGAUACGGCCCAG